rnacentral:rRNA from 1 species
UACGGGGGAGCAAGCGUUGUUCGGAUUUACUGGGCGUAAAGGGCGCGUAGGCGGCCACCGCAAGUCAGUUGUGAAAGCUCUGGGCUUAACCCAGAAAGGUCAGCUGAUACUGCGGGGCUAGAGUGCAGAAGGGGCAACUGGAAUUCUCGGUGUAGCGGUGAAAUGCGUAGAUAUCAAGAGGAACACCUGAGGUGAAGACGGGUUGCUGGGCUGACACUGACGCUGGAGGCGCGAAAGCCAGGGGAGCAAACGGG